AUCUCUCUCUCUCCUGUGGGGCCGGGGCCGGGGCGGGUGGCGGUUCCACCUUUUGCCAAGUUCUCUGGCCGACGCCUCCGUAAGAGCAUCCGGGUUAGGGUUGAGGUUGGACCGGUGAGCUCGUCGCCUUCGCCCUCGCCACUCUUCCAGUUCUAGAUCUCCGCGGCGCCAUUCCGAUCGGGCACUGGACGCAGAUCGAUCCCCUCGCUCUCAGAGAGUUCUAGGGUUCGUGGCUUUGUUUCACAAUUUUUUCCCAAAUUGGCCGAGAUCUGAUUUGUUCUUCCUCGGAACCAUGGUCCGUGCCAUUCUUCAUUCUCUAGUUGAAAAAGUUCGCAUCUUUCGUCUCCCAGAAGAGAGCCAUGCAGCAACCCGGCAUGUGAAGCUUCUGUUUGAGAGAUCCAAGGAGAAGUAGGGCUUUUCAAUCUGAGAAAAGCCAAUUCAUAAGAUGAAGUCUAAUCAUGUACAAACUCAUCUACGUCUAUUACAAUCAAACUUACAAGAAUUGGCAGCAAUAUCCAUCCAAUAACACCAGUAAAGAAUCAAUGUGCCUUGUGUGUAUAUUCUAUCGUUAAGAAUCAAAGUAAUUCUAUCUGUGUGAUCUUC